AACGAACGCUGGCGGCAGGCUUAACACAUGCAAGUCGAGCGCCCCGCAAGGGGAGCGGCAGACGGGUGAGUGACGCGUGGGAAUCUACCCAUCUCUACGGAAUAACGCAUGGAAACGUGUGCUAAUACCGUAUACGUCCUUCGGGAGAAAGAUUUAUCGGAGAUGGAUGAGCCCGCGUUGGAUUAGCUAGUUGGUGGGGUAAAGGCCUACCAAGGCGACGAUCCAUAGCUGGUCUGAGAGGAUGAUCAGCCACACGGGGACUGAGACACGGCCCAGACUCCUACGGGAGGCAGCAGUGGGGAAUAUUGGACAAUGGGCGCAAGCCUGAUCCAGCCAUGCCGCGUGAGUGAUGAAGGCCCUAGGGUUGUAAAGCUCUUUCACCGGUGAAGAUAAUGACGGUAACCGGAGAAGAAGCCCCGGCUAACUUCGUGCCAGCCGCCGCCGUAAGAC
rnacentral:rRNA from 1 species